GUAAUAUUUAAAAAUGACGCCCCUCCGUGUUCAUUUAUACCGACUGAACUACCGUGCCCUCUUCACCAAGAUUCGCACUGCAGCCUCCUAACGAUGGGUUCAUUAUAUUAUAUAAUUAUAGAAUUUUGAUCUCGGUCAAUACAUGAUUAUAUAAACAUAAGAAAAAAUAUCGACUCAGGACGAAAUUCUCAACAAGUGGCAUAAUUCCAUUCCAAAUAAACUGUUUAAUCACCGGACUUUGUUUUCAGAACAAAUUUAAUCAGAAAAGAUAUAUUUGAAACACAUCGAGGCAAACCUCAAAAUAUCGUCAAGUGUACGAAGUUACAUUUGUACGUUCCCUUGCUCAACCAAUAUGGCCGCUCAAUCAAAAUUUGUUUGGCUUUCAUAUUUUAUCAGAAAAGUUUAUCUGACUAAAGUAAUUACACUAGCUAGUGUGCAUCAAUUUCAACCAAUCAUAGUUCGUGUUACAUAUUGUAUACAUCAGGUUUCCGUGUAAUAAAGCCAUAAAACGCCAGUUCUUCAGAACAAAGCUUGCUGAUCACAAUGAUUUGACUGUUUUGGAUAAAGAGUUAAUUAAACGUUUGAAUCAAGUAGACAGUAGAACACCACCGAGCUAAUAGGGUCAUUAAACAAUUUACGAAGUAUAUAUUUCCCUAUAGGGUUUAGUUAUGGGUGAGCGUACAGUACAUCAAUUAGAAAUAUCAACAAAUACAGCGAUACGAUUUCUACUGAUGGUACUAUGCAGCAAACACCAGUACUUCUGAUCAGCUGGAUUUUAAGUACACAUUUACCAUCAGGUUUGACAGAGCAGUGAGUUAUCAGUCAUAAAAAAAUAGCUCAAACGUCACUUUUGGGCUGAUGCACCAUUUGAACAGGAAAUUUUGCAUAUUGAUCGAAUGUCGGUGUGUCUACAUCAUUUGAUACUUUUGAUUCUCAAUGAAAUGUAUAUGAUGAUAAUGAUGCUAUGCAGUAGCGCUUGUUAGAACUAUAAUUGGAGAUAUCUGUAUCGCAUACUUUUAUGAAUCAGGGACCUUCUCCUGAGUUUGAAUGACAUGUUUAUUUGGAUUUAUGGAUGGAGAAGAGGAUAUAAAUAAAGUACAAACCACACUGGCUACAUUCAUUUAGAGUAUCGUUUAGUGCGUAUGAUUGAUGUAACGACGAAAGAAUAAGGAGAAAACUACUUAGACGUUAAAUGUUGUCAGACUAAUAAAUGGAACCACUUAGAGAACCUGUGGACCCGUGCAUUGAGUCAGCGACCCCACGUCUACAUCUGAUUGUGUAUAUCUAAGAAAGAGCUAAAAGUGUGUAGAAUUGAUUUCCUGUAUGUCCAAAUUCAUCGCCGCAUCACGUGACACAUCAAAUAAACGUAUCGAUGUUGUGUUAAAUGCAUCUCAAAGUCAACAUCCUCAAUAUGAAAUCCGAUUAUUCUUUAGGACCCGUUAGAGAGUGACGUAAAUGUCGCGUGGAAAUGUAUAUUUCGGUAAAUAUUGAAAUGUAACGAAAUCUCGUUCACUUCACACCUCACGUGUGCAUACGCUUCACUUGUCAUUUGCGUGAUGAAGGUGACGGAGUAGUCACCGACACGUCCAACUUAAGAUUCUUUAUUGGUUGUGAAAUACGAACAUUUAGUCAUAUUAGUAGAUAUCUCUUAUUUCAGUGAAAUACCGAUAGACAUUGCUUGUUUUGUAAUGUACUUGCGGUAUAUUCCUCGCAAAGUUUAUAGCUGUGCGUCAAUGUUCUCCCUGUUCACAGUUCUGUACGUUUUACAGAACAAAACAGCACAAUCUUACUACUGUCAAAAAAUAAUUGGAAUUUAUUUAAAGAUAUUUCGUAAAAAAAAAAGAUACUGUAUCAUAAAGUUUGGUGAUAUGUACGUCAGAUAAGAUACCAUCGGCCAAUUAAAAGUUCAAACAAGUACCAAUUAAUUGGUAUGAAUUAAAUGGUCUGAUUAUCAGUUUCAGCUGAUCUAUAGACCAGAGUUUUUUCAUAUUUUAUCAAAAAUAUAAUUUUAUCAUAUUAUAAAGACAGUGUAAUCUUUCUAUCAUCAAACUGCAAAAUAACGUUGCAGAAUUGUAUGAGAGAAAAGUAGACUAUCAGUAGAUAUCGUCAUCCUUUAAUAUCAUGUAUUAUAUUUUACAUGUGUGGGAACAUGCUCGCCUUAUCAGAUUAUGCAUUUUCCUCCUGUACUAUUAAGGUGAUGUACCGGUCAGUGUAAUGCUAUAGAUGUAUAUCAGGUACAUGGAUACAAUGAUAUCCGCCUGUACUAUUAAGGUGAUGAACCGGUCAGUGUGUACUGAAUGCUAUAUAGAUGUUUAUUAGGUACAUGGAUACUAUGUUAUUUAUAUGCUCACAACCAUUAUCACUGUUUAAGAUCACAAAAUUCACACACAUUUGCAUUAUGAAUUAUUUGUCCAAUAAAAUUGGUAUGACUGUAA